rnacentral:rRNA from 1 species
AGAGUUUGAUCAUGGCUCAGAUUGAACGCUGGCGGCAGGCCUAACACAUGCAAGUCGAGCGGUAACAUUUCUAGCUUGCUAGAAGAUGACGAGCGGCGGACGGGUGAGUAAUGCUUGGGAAUAUGCCUUAGGGUGGGGGACAACAGUUGGAAACGACUGCUAAUACCGCAUAACGUCUACGGACCAAAAGGGGGCUUCGGCUCUCGCCCUUAGAUUAGCCCAAGUGGGAUUAGCUAGUUGGUGAGGUAAUGGCUCACCAAGGCGACGAUCCCUAGCUGGUUUGAGAGGAUGAUCAGCCACACUGGAACUGAGACACGGUCCAGACUCCUACGGGAGGCAGCAGUGGGGAAUAUUGCACAAUGGGCGCAAGCCUGAUGCAGCCAUGCCGCGUGUGUGAAGAAGGCCUUAGGGUUGUAAAGCACUUUCAGUAAGGAGGAAAGGUUAGUAGUUAAUACCUGCUAGCUGUGACGUUACUUACAGAAGAAGCACCGGCUAACUCCGUGCCAGCAGCCGCGGUAAUACGGAGGGUGCGAGCGUUAAUCGGAAUUACUGGGCGUAAAGCGUACGCAGGCGGUUUGUUAAGCGAGAUGUGAAAGCCCCGGGCUCAACCUGGGAACUGCAUUUCGAACUGGCAAACUAGAGUAUGAUAGAGGGUGGUAGAAUUUCAGGUGUAGCGGUGAAAUGCGUAGAGAUCUGAAGGAAUACCGAUGGCGAAGGCAGCCACCUGGGUCAAUACUGACGCUCAUGUACGAAAGCGUGGGGAGCAAACGGGAUUAGAUACCCCGGUAGUCCACGCCGUAAACGAUGU